rnacentral:rRNA from 1 species
AUUGAACGCUGGCGGCAGGCUUAACACAUGCAAGUCGAGCGGGGUGAUGGUGCUUGCACUAUCACUUAGCGGCGGACGGGUGAGUAAUGCUUAGGAAUCUGCCUAUUAGUGGGGGACAACAUCUCGAAAGGGAUGCUAAUACCGCAUACGUCCUACGGGAGAAAGCAGGGGAUCUUCGGACCUUGCGCUAAUAGAUGAGCCUAGGUCGGAUUAGCUAGUUGGUGGGGUAAAGGCCUACCAAGGCGACGAUCUGUAGCGGGUCUGAGAGGAUGAUCCGCCACAAUGGGACUGAGCCACGGCCCAGACUCCUACGGGAGGCAGCAGUGGGGAAUAUUGGACAGUGGGGGGAACCCUGAUCCAGCCAUGCCGCGUGUGUGAAGAAGGCCUUAUGGUUGUAAAGCACUUUAAGCGAGGAGGAGGCUACUCUAGUUAAUACCUAGGGAUAGUGGACGUUACUCGCAGAAUAAGCACCGGCUAACUCUGUGCCAGCAGCCGCCGCAG